ensembl:misc_RNA
GUACCAACACUGAAAAGUGAAACCCUCUGUUUAUCCGCUGAACAAGUGUAGAAGAAUGGUAAGAGGUAGAUCUCGUUUCUUCAUGCUGCUCUGCCAAUGUGUCUUAUUACUGUUUUGAACAGAUGACCCUGAUGGGUGAGAAGGUAAUUCAGUCCCCAUGCUCAUUUGAUCCUUGGCCUUU